CCCUUAGAUGUUCUGGGCUGCACGCGCGCUACACUGAUGCGUUCAACGAGUUUAUGACCUUGCCCGAUAGGGUUGGGUAAUCUUUUUAAAUCGCAUCGUGAUGGGGAUAGAUUAUUGCAAUUAUUAAUCUUCAACGAGGAAUUCCUAGUAAGCGCGAGUCAUCAGCUCGUGCUGAUUACGUCCCUGCCCUUUGUACACACCGCCCGUCGCCCCUACCGAUUGAGUGAUCCGGUGAAUAAUUCGGACUGCAGCAGUGUUCAGUUCCUGAACGUUGCAGCGGAAAGUUUAGUGAACCUUAUCACUUAGAGGAAGGAGAAGUCGUAACA
rnacentral:rRNA from 1 species